GACGAACGCUGGCGGCGUGCUUAACACAUGCAAGUCGAACGGAAAGGCCCUGCUUUUGUGGGGUGCUCGAGUGGCGAACGGGUGAGUAACACGUGAGUAACCUGCCCUUGACUUUGGUAUAACUUCAGGAAACUGGGGCUAAUACCGGAUAUGAGCUCCUGCUGCAUGGUGGGGGUUGGAAAGUUUCGGCGGUUGGGGAUGGACUCGCGGCUUAUCAGCUUGUUGGUGGGGUAGUGGCUUACCAAGGCUUUGACGGGUAGCCGGCCUGAGAGGGUGACCGGCCAGAUUGGGACUGAGAUACGGCCCAGACUCCUACGGGAGGCAGCAGUGGGGAAUAUUGCACAAUGGGCGGAAGCCUGAUGCAGCAACGCCGCGUGCGGGAUGAAGGCCUUCGGGUUGUAAACCGCUUUCGCCUGUGACGAAGCGUGAGUGACGGUAAUGGGUAAAGAAGCACCGGCUAACUACGUG
rnacentral:rRNA from 1 species